rnacentral:rRNA from 1 species
AUACGGAGGGUGCAAGCGUUAUUCGAAAUCACUGGGCGUAAAGGACGCGUAGGCGGGUUGGCAAGUCAGAUGUGAAAUCCUACAGCUUAACUGUAGAACUGCAUUUGAAACUGCUAACCUAGAGUAUGGGAGGGGGAGAUGGAAUUAGUGGUGUAGGGGUAAAAUCCGUAGAUAUCACUAGGAAUACCGAAAGCGAAGGCGAUCUCCUGGAACAUAACUGACGCUAAGGCGUGAAAGCGUGGGGAGCAAACAGGAUUAGAAACCCUUGUAGUCC